rnacentral:rRNA from 1 species
AGGUUACUGCUAUCGGUGUUCGCCUAAGCCAUGCGAGUCAUAUGUUCUUCGUGAACAUGGCGUACUGCUCAGUAACACGUGGAUAACCUGCCCUUAGGUCCGGCAUAACCCCGGGAAACUGGGGAUAAUUCCGGAUAACGCACAUAUGCUGGAAUGCUUUAUGCGUCAAAUGGAUUCGUCCGCCCAAGGAUGGGUCUGCGGCCUAUCAGGUAGUAGUGGGUGUAAUGUACCUACUAGCCUACGACGGGUACGGGUUGUGAGAGCAAGAGCCCGGAGAUGGAUUCUGAGACAUGAAUCCAGGCCCUACGGGGCGCAGCAGGCGCGAAAACUUUACAAUGCGGGAAACCGUGAUAAGGGGACACCGAGUGCCAGCAUCAUAUGCUGGCUGUCCGGGUGUGUAAAAUACACCUGUUAGCAAGGGCCGGGCAAGACCGGUGCCAGCCGCCGCGGUAACACCGGCGGCCCGAGUGGUGAUCGUGAUUAUUGGGUCUAAAGGGUCCGUAGCCGGUUUGGUCAGUCCUCCGGGAAAUCUGACGGCUUAACCGUUAGGCUUUCGGGGGAUACUGCCAGACUUGGAACCGGGAGAGGUAAGAGGUACUACAGGGGUAGGAGUGAAAUCUUGUAAUCCCUGUGGGACCACCUGUGGCGAAGGCGUCUUACCAGAACGGGUUCGACGGUGAGGGACGAAAGCUGGGGCACGAACCGGAUUAGAUACCCGGGUAGUCCCAGCCGUAAACGAUGCUCGCUAGGUGUCAGGCAUGGCGCGACCGUGUCUGGUGCCGCAGGGAAGCCGUGAAGCGAGCCACCUGGGAAGUACGGCCGCAAGGCUGAAACUUAA